rnacentral:rRNA from 1 species
UGGGGAAUCUUGCGCAAUGGGCGAAAGCCUGACGCAGCGACGCCGCGUGCGGGAAGAAGGCCUUCGGGUUGUAAACCGCUUUCAGGAGGGACGAAGCCACUCGGGUGAACAGCCCAGAGGGUGACGGUACCUCCAGAAGAAGCCCCGGCUAACUACGUGCCAGCAGCCGCGGUAAUACGUAGGGGGCAAGCGUUGUCCGGAUUCAUUGGGCGUAAAGAGCGUGUAGGCGGCCAGGUAGGUCGGUUGUGAAAACUGGAGGCUCAACCUUCAGAGGUCGACCGAAACCAUCUGGCUAGAGUCCGGGAGAGGAGAGUGGAAUUCCUGGUGUAGCGGUGAAAUGCGCAGAUAUCAGGAAGAACACCCGUGGCGAAAGCGGCUCUCUGGAACGGUACUGACGCUGAGACGCGAAAGCGUGGGGAGCGAACAGG